GCAGAGUUCUGUCGAGCUGUGGCUGGCACUGGAGGAGUGCGAUGGCCAUGCUGCCUAGCUGAGAGCUGCCGGCCUUUGCUCUUGGAAGAAUCGUAGUGAGGAGAGGAGCCAGGAGGCACUGGCUCCCCCUUGCCUUUCGCAGAGAUCCACGAUCACGUCGCGUCCACCUCCCAGCGCCGUCCGCAGCAGUUCGGCCAAAGCUCCCACCAGGCGUCGCUGUGCCUCUGAGUCUGCUGCAUGUAGGAGUAAAACUGGCCUUGUUCGACCGGAGCCUAGGGACCGGAGCAACAGCUGAGUAAGUAGGCGCCGGCCGAGGAGGACCAGAACUACACCCAGUAGAGCGGUGAGAGCCAGCAGUGCCAGGAUCAAGAGCCCGAGGUGUCUAUGGGAGACUGAAUCAAGCAGUUUUUCGAGUCAACCUAUUCUUAGCCCACACAAUGGAACGGCACCAGUGCAGUACUGUACAGUGAGUCCUUCAGCUUCUAGAGGUCUCUAGAGAGUUGGUGAACUUCUAUACUAGUGCGUGGGAGAGGCAUGAGACCUGGGGAGGAGAGCUGGGGUGAGGGGUAGCAUCAAUAUACAAAUGUGGGGCUGAGGAAAUGACUUGGUAGGUGCAUUGUCUAUGCAAACAUGAACACUUGAAUUUAAA